rnacentral:lncRNA from 1 species
UUUCUCAUUCUCUUCUAAGUUACCCAGUUUAACUGCCCUAUCCCUUUCACCACACCUCCCCCUCAUUAAACACUUACCAGAUCCUUUUCUGUUGCUAUGUAGGCAGUAAAGUAGCUUUCACAGCUGCCUGCUGAAUGAAAUGGGAAACACACACUCACACACACAUGCACACUGAGAGUGUGUGUAAGGAGGAGAAUUUCAGCAGUAUUUCAGGAUCAAGGGAUGCAAGUGGCAGUGGAGAACUAGAUUUUGGAGAUAUCUGAGCACACUCAAAACCAACUAGGAGAACCAGCUGAGUUCUGUUUCAACCGGAGACUCACCGUCCUCUUCAAGAUUGUCUGAAUUCUGUUUCUUCCCUCUUCUCCUAAAAGGUAUAGAAAGUUAAGAACAGGGUCUCCCCUCUGAAGUAAGAACUCAAAUUUAUAUAUUUUUG